CGUUAGGUGUGAACGCCCUCUGCAAACUGUAGGGAGCUGUGCCCGGCCGCCGCCCGUCUGUAGAUCCUGCAAACCGGCGGGUGGCUGCAAGUACUCCACAGUGUGAAUGAAUCAGGUUCAGUCUCCUAUGGAUGGACAUUUGGAGUUGUUUUCAAUCUCUGGCUAUUAAAAUAACAUAAUAAUGAA